UACGUAGGGAGCAAGCGUUGUCCGGAAUCAUUGGGCGUAAAGCGCGCGUAGGCGGCCUCAUAAGUCCGUUGUGAAAGUCAAAGGCUACAACCUUUGAAAGCCGAUGGAUACUGUGAGGCUAGAGUCCGGAAGAGGCGAGUGGAAUUCCUGGUGUAGCGGUGGAAUGCGCAGAUAUCAGGAGGAACACCAAUAGCGAAGGCAGCUCGCUGGGACGGUACUGACGCUAAGGCGCGAAAGCGUGGGGAGCGAACGAGG
rnacentral:rRNA from 1 species